UGGGGAAUCUUGGACAAUGGGGGCAACCCUGAUCCAGCCAUGCCGCGUGAGUGAUGAAGGCCUUAGGGUCGUAAAGCUCUUUCGCCUGUGAAGAUAAUGACGGUAGCAGGUAAAGAAACCCCGGCUAACUCCGUGCCAGCAGCCGCGGUAAUACGGAGGGGGCAAGCGUUAUUCGGAAUUACUGGGCGUAAAGCGCACGUAGGCGGACCAGAAAGUUGGGGUGAAAUCCCGGGGCUCGAACCCCGGAACUGCCUCCAAAACUAUUGGUCUAGAGUUCGAGAGAGGUGAGUGGAAUUCCAAGUGUAGAGGUGAAAUUCGUAGAUAUUUGGAGGAACACCAGUGGCGAAGGCGGCUCACUGGCUCGAUACUGACGCUGAGGUGCGAAAGUGUGGGGAGCAAACAGGAUUAGAU
rnacentral:rRNA from 1 species